AAUUUUGGACGAUGGGGGCAACCCCGAUCCAGCCAUUCCGCGCGUGCGAUGAAGGCCUUCGGGUUGUAAAGCACUUUUGGCAGGGCAGAAACGGCUUUGGUUAACACCUGGAGCUGCUGACGGUACCUGCAGAAUAAGCACCGGCUUACUACGUGCCAGCAGCCGCGGUAAUACGUAGGGUGCAAGCGUUAAGCGGAAUUACUGGGCGUAAAGCGUGCGCAGGCGGUUCGGCAAGAAGGAUGUGAAAUCCCGGGGCUUAACCUCGGAACUGCAUUCUUAACUGCCGGGGUAGAGUAUGUCAGAGGGGGGUAGAAUUCCACGUGUAGCAGUGAAAUGCGUAGAGAUGUGGAGGAAUACCGAUGGCGAAGGCAGCCCCCUGGGAUGAUACUGACGCUCAUGCACGAAAGCGUGGGGAGCAAACA
rnacentral:rRNA from 1 species